GGAGAGGCAUGCAUCCACCCUAGAGCCAGAAAGGCUGAGGCUGGGAAGGAGAAAGUUGAACAGGUCUGGGGCAGCCUCAGGGCGCCUUUAUCUCCUUCUUUCCCUGCCUGUCACCCCUCCAUCCAAGCAUCCUCCUCCUCCGGCUGCCCUUCUGCUCCUUUUCUGCUCCUCCUCCUCUUCUGCUUCUCUUCUCUUCUUCCUCUUCUCCUCUUCUCUUCCGCCUCCUCUUCCUCCUCUUUCUCCUCUUCUGCUCCUCCUCUUUUCCUCUUCUGCUCUUUCUCCUCUUCCUCUUCCUCCUCCUCUUCUCUUCCUCCUCCUCUUCUCUUCCUCCUCCUCCUCUUCUUCUGCUCUUCCUCCUCCUCCUCCUCCUCUUCCUCUUCCUCCUCCUUCUCCCCCUCUCCUCCUCCUCCUCCUCUUCUCUUCCUCCUCCUCUUCUCUUCCUCCUCCUCUUCCUCUGCUCUUCCUCCUUCCCCUCCUCUUCUCCUCCUCUUCUCUUCCUCUUCCUCCUCCUUUGCUCUUUCUCCUCCUUCUCCCCCUCCUCUUCUCCUCCCCCUCUUCUCCUCCUCCUCUGCUCUUCCUCCUCCUCUGCUCUUCCUCCUCCUCCUCCUCUCUUUCUCUUCGUCCUCCUUUGCUCUUUCUCCUCUUUCUCCCCCUUCUCUUCUCCUCCCCCUUCUGUUCUCCUCCCCCUCCUCUUCUCCUCCUCCUCUGCUCUUCCUCCUCCUCCUCUUCUCCUCCUCCUCCUCCUCUGCUCUUCCUCCUCCUCCCAAGCAAGUUCGGCCGGGGUUCGCUCCCUCCAUCCCAAGGCGCGGAGCGCAGCGAGGGCCGGGCCCCCUACGUCCCUACCUCCUUUUGCCUCUUUCCACCGCAGGCCCCAGCCACCCGUGUGACGUCACAGUGAGCCGUGACGCCACAGGCUCCCCGCCGCUGCCCUCAGAGGGGAGGAGCGGCGGGGAUUCAAAGACCGCGCUGGAAGCGGAGGGGCAAGCAGCAGCCACCAGCCCAUUCCCCGAUUCGGGGCAGGCACUGGAGUCAGCAUGGGGGUGA
rnacentral:lncRNA from 1 species